UUUGGGAUAGAUGGGAGGUGGGAUAAGAAGGGAAUAAAAGUUUUAAGGGAAAAGUGGGAGGGAGUAAAAAUUUUGGGGGAAAAUAAAAGGUUUUGAGGGUUUUUGGGAGUAAAAUUUUGAGAAAAAAAUAAAUGGGAGAGUAAAAUUUUGGUGGGAAAUGGAUUUUGGGUAGAUUUGGGGGUUGGGAGGGGAGUAAAAGUUUUGGGGGGAAAGUGGGAAGGAGUAAAAGUUUUGAGGGAAAAGUAAAAAGGUUUGGGAGUUUGGGGU
rnacentral:lncRNA from 1 species